GGGGCUGUAGCUCAGUUGGGAGAGCGCCACGUUCGCAACGUGGAAGUCGAGGGUUCGAGUCCCUUCAGCUCCACCA
rnacentral:tRNA from 2 species